rnacentral:tRNA from 1 species
UUUGUAGUUAUUUAUA